rnacentral:lncRNA from 1 species
UCCACCAUUCAAGCUCUUAUGUAGCACACUACUUAAUUUUGAAUAUAAAUACACAAUAAAAAUCUCUUUUGUUCAAAUCUAUUCGACAAGUCUUUUGAUUCAUCAACUAAUGUUAUUAUCUUUUUCUCACUAGGUCGCUAGUUUGUAUCAAUUGUAAUUUUUGUUUCAAAAUUAAUACUCUAAAAUUAUAAUAUACACUAUGUUUUAUUUGUCCACUUAUCAAAUCUUUAUGUUGAUGUGAUGCUAUUCUUCUUGGUAAUCUCUC